AGGACGACUGUGCAGCAGAGAGGCUGCUGAGUGGUUUCAUUCUCCUGCAGUGGAAGAACAUUGUUCAUCUGUUUGGCUUCAACUACAAAGACUAAGACAUGUUGCUUCACCUCUUUGUGUUUCUCUCUCCCUUCAUAGCCAUGGGUUCCAUGGACAGCAUAACACCAGAAAGUACUGAAGAAGUAGUUUCAGAGGGAAGACACAUCAACCUGACCUGUAAAUAUGACGGAUCCAUCCGCAACAUCCAGUGGUACCGACAACAGCAGAGAUCCAGACCAGAGUUCCUGCUCUUCAUCACAAAGGAAGGAUCCAUUCAUCCAACUCUGUCUGAUUUCUCUGCUCACAUCAACCAGACUGAGAAACGAGUCAAACUGCAGAUCUCCUCUGCUGCAGUGACAGACUCUGCUGUGUACUACUGUGCUCUGCAGCCCACAGUGACAGGAAACUACACAACUCUGUACAAAAACCUGUGGAGCAAACACACAACUCCUCAUCCUCCACUAGAGGGAGUCACUCACUGUUAAACCUCAGUGGUUUGUGAUGACGUUUGUUUCCCAAUAAAACAAAU